rnacentral:lncRNA from 1 species
UCCCCAAAAUAUCACCAUAUUAUGCCAAACUAUGCCGGGGCCCAUUAUAGAACUUACAGCUCUAAUUGACCAUGAAUGUGGAACUUUUCAUUUCGUCGAAAGUCACUCCUAAAUGUGUGAUAAAAUACCCUCUUUAGAAAAAUUCACCAUAAAAUAUUCUCAGUUACAACAAUCACGAAAAUAGAGAAAAAAUUCAUGGAAAACACAUAUUUUACACCAAAAAAUUGAGAAGAAAUUGUGAAAAAUUCUAUAUAAAAAAAUUCUUUUAAAUUCUGAUAGACACUUAAACAAACAUAUUGUUACUAAUUUUAUAUCAAAAAUCAAAAUUUUUAAUUCUAUAAAGUUUCUUACAUUUCAACCAAAAAAAUCAUGCAAAAUUCACGAUAAUAAUGAAAAAUUUACGGAGAAAUCUGAUUUGGAUGCCGAAAAAUUGAGAAAGAAUAUUUGAGGAAAAAGUCGGGAA